rfam:Picea glauca, whole genome shotgun sequence.
UGUUAUGUACAUGCCUACAACAUUAAUGUAGCCGAUCCCAUUAGAACUAUGGAAUUAAGUGUGCUUGGGCUAGAGUAGUAUUGGGAUGGGUGACCUCUCGGGAAGUCCUAGUGUUUUACAC